CCUACGGGUGGCUGCAGUGAGGAAUAUUGGUCAAUGGACGCAAGUCUGAACCAGCCAUGCCGCGUGCAGGAAGACGGCUCUAUGAGUUGUAAACUGCUUUUGUACGAGGGCAAACGCAGAUACGCGUAUCUCUCUGAAAGGAUCGUACGAACUAUGAUCGGCUAACCCCGUGCCUGCAGCCGUGGUAAUACGGAGGAUUCAAGCGUUAGCCGAAAUUGUUGGGUUUAUAGGGUGCGUAGGCGGUCGGAUAAGUUAGAGGUGAAAGCCCGAGGCUCAACUUCGGGAGCGCCUCUGAUACUGUUCGGCUAGAGAGUAGUUGCGGGAGGCGGAAUGUAUGGUGUAGCAGUGAAAUGCGUAGAGAUC
rnacentral:rRNA from 1 species